AAGCCUACACAGUCGCUCUCUCACUCUCUCUCUCCUCACUGUUCGACUGUUCAUCGCCGCCCUUCAGCGGUGGCUCCACGACAACUCCACGUGGCGAGGCGAGGCAACGUUCGGUUCACCAACGUCGUCUCGCCGGAGAGCUUCCACACCUCCGCCGAGCUCCCGUUGCGAGCCACCACGCCUCCCGACGAGCUCAGAUCGACCAUCGCGACUUCUUCCCCCCAUCAACCACAGUCCUUCUAGAUCUGGUCAGAUCGAGUUCCUCUUGGCUUGGAUCGCAAGAUCAGAGCACACGAAAUCUACGCCGACUCCGUUGAGAUCUACACCUUCGGCUACAUCAAGGUCUUGUUUGGCUCUCAACAUCAAGGUUUGGUUCGGCUUCAUCGAGAUCUACUUGCUCCAUUGACUUUUGAUUUCAGCCACUGUAGGAUACGAAUACUCCGGCAAGGUCCGACCGUGGCGUCUAAUCGGCCAGUUCAUCCUUGCGCUGUCCAAUCCAUUGGAUCCAUUCCAGUUUUAUGCCCUCUUAGUUCGACACCGCCGGUAAUGACCAUGAAGCCACGCUCAGGCACCUUCUUAAUGGUAGCCAAAAUGAGCUUAAACUAGUGGAAACAGUGCUACAGAAAAAGCUAUCACAGGUAUAACUGCCACAACAUAUUCAAUAGUCUUGGCGUCUCUCACCACAUCUUUGAGCACCAAAAAAUAUCCGCCGCAAAAAGACACCGACACUGAAGCUAUGGAUAAGAAGAGCGCAGUCAAACCUAUGAGGAGCUCUGUCGGCAGGUCUUUACCGAAAUCUUUUGCUUUUUGUCGAGAAGUGAGAAUGGCGAGGAACAUUACCACUGCUGUCAGUGAAAAGCAGAGCGCUCCAAGUGAUGACGUGGAAAAUACCUUAAACAUGCGAUGUGCUUGGAGAACUGGAUCCCCAUUGCUUUCAGUGCCACCUGGCACACUUGCCAUCGUGGCAAAGGCGACAGUUGCAAUGAGUGCUGCUACGAUGGUGCAUGAAUCUGAGGUUUUCAUUAGCCACUCUGUGUCAUUUUGCACUAGCUCACUGUGUGUCUCUAUGAAGAUCUCUUGUGCGGUCUUGCCCCCGUUGUUUUGGUGUGCCACCAAAUGUUUUGGUAGAUGCUCUUUAAUGCACUACAAAUAUAGAUCAGUUUCAAAUCUAAAUCAAGUAUAUGAAUGGUUAAUUAGUUGAGGCUUUAGAUCAUAUAUCCCUAAGCAAAUAUAUCUAUUUAUACUAUACUGUUGUGUUAUUUUAUUUUAUUUUUGUUUUCCCAAAAUAUCUUCAUGUAACUGCUUUAAAAUCCAGAUUAAAAUUUGUAAUUUCUUGCAAA